rnacentral:rRNA from 1 species
UUUGACAUGUACGGAAUUUGCCAGAGAUGGCUUAGUGCUCGAAAGAGAGCCGUAACACAGGUGCUGCAUGGCUGUCGUCAGCUCGUGUCGUGAGAUGUUGGGUUAAGUCCCGCAACGAGCGCAACCCUUGUCAUUAGUUGCUACGAAAGGGCACUCUAAUGAGACUGCCGGUGACAAACCGGAGGAAGGUGGGGAUGACGUCAAGUCCUCAUGGCCCUUAUAGGUGGGGCUACACACGUCAUACAAUGGCCGGUACAAAGGGUCGCAAACCCGCGAGGGGGAGCUAAUCCAUCAAAGCCGGUCGUAGUCCGGAUCGCAGUCUGCAACUCGACUGCGUGAAGUCGGAAUCGCUAGUAAUCGUGGAUCAGCAUGUCACGGUGAAUACGUUCCCGGGUCUUGUACACACCGCCCGUCACACCAUGGGAGCGGGUCUCGCCAGAAGUAGUUAGCCUAACCGCAAGGAGGGCGCUUACCACGGUAGUAUUCAUGACUGGGGUGAAGUCGUAACAAGGUAACCGUA